rnacentral:rRNA from 1 species
GGCCGCGGGAAUUCGAUUCAGGCCUAACACAUGCAAGUCGAGCGGUAGAGAGAAGCUUGCUUCUCUUGAGAGCGGCGGACGGGUGAGUAAUGCCUAGGAAUCUGCCUGGUAGUGGGGGAUAACGUCCGGAAACGGACGCUAAUACCGCAUACGUCCUACGGGAGAAAGCAGGGGACCUUCGGGCCUUGCGCUAUCAGAUGAGCCUAGGUCGGAUUAGCUAGUUGGUGGGGUAAUGGCUCACCAAGGCGACGAUCCGUAACUGGUCUGAGAGGAUGAUCAGUCACACUGGAACUGAGACACGGUCCAGACUCCUACGGGAGGCAGCAGUGGGGAAUAUUGGACAAUGGGCGAAAGCCCGAUCCAGCCAAGGCGCGUGUGUGAAGAAGGUCUUCGGAUG